UACGUAGGGGGCAAGCGUUGUCCGGAUUUAUUGGGCGUAAAGAGCGUGUAGGCGGCUAGGUAGGUCCGUUGUGAAAACUCGAGGCUCAACCUCGAGACGUCGGCGGAAACCAUCUGGCUAGAGUCCGGAAGAGGAGAGUGGAAUUCCUGGUGUAGCGGUGAAAUGCGCAGAUAUCAGGAAGAAUAUCCGUGGCGAAGGCGGCUCUCUGGGACGGUACUGACGCUGAGACGCGAAAGCGUGGGGAGCGAACAGG
rnacentral:rRNA from 1 species